CCAGGUCCACACCCUUUUCCUGGGCGUGGUUGACUGCAUUAGAGAUUAGCACCUGACUGAGGCUGGCGAAUCAUUCCCAGGAAUUUGGAAGUAAGGCUGAGCCUUCAGCUCAGACUGAUGAGAUAAAGAGGAAUUCCUGCGUCCUCGGAAGCACUCUAGUCCCUGGUUCCAGCCUUUUCUGAGCCUAUUCUUGAGGCCCAGCCAGAUCUCUGCCCUUGAGUUCUGGGUUCUCUUCAAAUGUCUUAUGUUCCUUGGCUAUCUCUUCACACAUGUGUGCGACAUUACAACUGACUGGAAGCUCCGAGUACGUGGGCAGGGCUGCGGACACAUAGGCCUCACACAGGGAAACUGAUGGCCACCAUGUCACACACUGCAGUGGAAACCAUUCCCAGAGAAUCCAGUGCGAGUGCUCACCUGGAGUUGUGCAACAGUGCAGCCCUACAGGUACAGACAGAGUAAGAGGAGGACCUUGUUGUUUAUUACUGGGGAAUGAUUGGAAGACUGGAGUGAGUCCUUGGCCCACCCACAUUCAAUCUUUUUUUAUUUUUAUUUUUUAACUCUCCAGGGCUGUGUCUUUCUUUUAUUUCCCAUGUACUCUUUCUUUUCUUUUAAUUUAAUUUUUUUAAAUUUAUUUUUGGCUGCGUUGCCUCUUCGUUGCUGCACAUAGGCUUUCUCUAGGUGCUUUCUCUAGUUGUGGCAAGUGGGGGCUACUCUUCCUUGCAGUGCGAGGGCUUCUCCCUGCAGUGGCUUCUUUUGUUGAGAAGCACGGGCUCUAGGUGCACAUGCUUCAGUAGUUGUGGCACACAGGUCCUAGAGUGCACGGGCUUCAGUAGUUGUGGAACAUGGGCUCAGUAGUUGUGGCAUACAGGCUUAGUUGCUCUGAGACAUGUGGGAUCUUCCUGGACCAGGGAUUGAACGCGUGUCCCCUGCAUUGGCAGGUGGAUUCUUAACUACUCUACCACCAGGGAAGUCCUUACCAACACUUUAAACUCCGUGUAUCUAAAACUGAACACCUCAGGACUUCCCUGGUGGUCCAAUGGCUAAAACUCCAUGCUCCCAAUGAAGGGGGCCCAGGUUUGAUCCUUGGUCGGGGAACUAGAUCCCACAUGCCACAGCUAAGAGUUCACAUGCCGCAGCUAAAAGAUCCCACAUGCCGCAGCUAAAAGAUCCCACGUGCUGCAACUAAAAAGAGAUCCCACCUGCUGCCAUGAAGAUCCCGGGUGCCACAACGAAGACCCAGCACAGCCAAAUAAAUAAAUAUAUUUUUAAAAAUCUCCCUUUUAAAAAAAUAAAAUAAGAUAAAACUGAACACCUCAUCUUUGUUCCCAAACUGUUUUCUUCUCCUGACCUUACUGUUGCUGAAAUUGCUCUGGUUCAUAAGCUCGUAUCCUUUUUGCCCCAUUCUCUUCUAUAUCUAAAGUCUCAAGAUUUUGAAAAUAUUUUCUAGGCAAGAGUAAGUCUUAUUUUGCUAUCUGCCACCUAGCAAUACGUACAUGGACUCACUGUUAUAAUAUUUUAGUAUUUCUAUGUCAUUACAACAGUACCUGCCCUGUGUGCUCCUGUGUGUUGCAGAGGCUUAGACCUCUGUUCUAGCUCUCUCAUGCUUGCACUCAGGCGUGCUGCAGUGAUUUUCCUCCAUCACCAGACUUUUGAUUUCUCUCUUCCACUCCUGUCACCCUCAUGCAGGACUUUAGCCACCUCCCUCCUUGGGCAGGCAUGAGUAAUCAGGGCUGCUCUUCUUGCCCUUUGACCUAUUAAAGAUGUCUCCGUUGUGGAACAUUCUCCAGUGAUCCCAUAGUGUUUAUAGUGGUCUCUCUUGAUUUCAACUCUAUUUCCAGAUAUUGUUCUCCAGUUGUUGUUUUGUUUUGUUUUUCCCCCAUAUGUACCACUUG